UAAGGCUCCCAGUAGACGACUGGGUUGAUAGGCCAGAUGUGGAAGCCCGGUAACGGGUGAAGCUGACUGGUACUAAUAGGCCGAGGGCUUGUCCUC
rnacentral:rRNA from 3 species